GUGGGCCACACUCUUUAGAUCUCUAUAAAACAGAAAAUAAGGCAGUUUUACUUAUCUGUGCACCACAGUGCAGAAAACCAGUGGAUGGCUAUGUUAUACAUCUUCUUGUAUAAUACACAGUGGCCCCACCUAAUGAGCUGCAGACCUUUCAGUUUUGAGCAUUGCUAAUUGCACAUGACUUUCCAUGGUCUGAAAAAAAUGAUAGACACGCACAUAAUCUGGACCAUUCAUCCAAUGGCAGGACCUUAUGUUGGCCAUUACCCAGAAAACAGGCCAAUCAGGUGUGCCGAAGUGCUCACUUUUAGGGAGAAAAAAAAAAUGA